rnacentral:misc_RNA from 1 species
GCUGACGAGUGGAACGAGGCUGCGAUCUUUUGAUCUUCCGCUCUAGACUCAAUGGGGAAUGGAAAGAUCGCAGCCUCGUUUCACUCGUCAGC